rnacentral:rRNA from 1 species
UACGUAGGGGGCAAGCGUUGUCCGGAUUUAUUGGGCGUAAAGAGCGUGUAGGCGGCCAGACAGGUCCGUUGUGAAAACUGGAGGCUCAACCUCCAGACGUCGAUGGAAACCGUCUGGCUAGAGUCCGGAAGAGGAGAGUGGAAUUCCUGGUGUAGCGGUGAAAUGCGCAGAUAUCAGGAAGAACACCCGUGGCGAAAGCGGCUCUCUGGGACGGUACUGACGCUGAGACGCGAAAGCGUGGAGAGCGAACAGG